rnacentral:rRNA from 1 species
GACGAACGCUGGCGGCGUGCUUAACACAUGCAAGUCGAACGGUAAGGCCCUUCGGGGUACACGAGUGGCGAACGGGUGAGUAACACGUGGGUGAUCUGCCCUGCACUUCGGGAUAAGCCUGGGAAACUGGGUCUAAUACCGGAUAGGACCACUGCCUGCAUGGGUGGUGGUGGAAAGCUUUUGCGGUGUGGGAUGGGCCCGCGGCCUAUCAGCUUGUUGGUGGGGUGCUGGCCUACCAAGGCGACGACGGGUAGCCGGCCUGAGAGGGUGACCGGCCACACUGGGACUGAGGUACGGCGCGGACUCCUACGGGAGGCAGCAGUGGGGAAUAUUGCACAAUGGGCGCAAGCCUGAUGCAGCGACGCCGCGUGAGGGAUGACGGCCUUCGGGUUGUAAACCUCUUUCAGCACCGACGAAGCGCAAGUGACGGUAGGUGCAGAAGAAGGACCGGCCAACUACGUGCCAGCCGCCGCAGUAA